AUACGUAGGGGGCGAGCGUUGUCCGGAAUGACUGGGCGUAAAGGGCGUGUAGGCGGCGCUGUAAGUCUGGAGUGAAAGUCCCGUUUUCAAGGCGGGAACUGCUUUGGAUACUGCAGAGCUUGAGUGCGGAAGAGGUAAGUGGAAUUCCCAGUGUAGCGGUGAAAUGCGUAGAGAUUGGGAGGAACACCAGUGGCGAAGGCGACUUACUGGGCCGUAACUGACGCUGAGGCGCGAAAGCGUGGGGAGCGAACAGGAUUAGAUACCCUGGUAGUCCACGCUGUAAACGAUGAUUACUAGGUGUGGGGGGACUGACCCCUUCCGUGCCGCAGUUAACACAAUAAGUAAUCCACCUGGGGAGUACGGCCGCAAGGUUGAAACUCAAAUGAAUUGACGGGG
rnacentral:rRNA from 1 species